rnacentral:rRNA from 1 species
GGAGUUAGCCGGUGCUUCUUCUGUGAGUGAUGUCCUUCCUGCCGGCUAUUAACCCGCAGGCCUUCUUCCUCACUGAAAGUGCUUUACAACCCGAAGGCCUUCUUCACACACGCGGCAUGGCUGGAUCAGGGUUGCCCCCAUUGUCCAAUAUUCCCCACUGCUGCCUCCCGUAGGAGUCUGGGCCGUGUCUCAGUCCCAGUGUGGCUGAUCAUCCUCUCAGACCAGCUACGGAUCGUCGCCUUGGUGAGCCGUUACCUCACCAACCAGCUAAUCCGACAUAGGCUCAUCCGAUAGCGCGAGGCCCGAAGGUCCCCCGCUUUCCCCCGUAGGGCGUAUGCGGUAUUAGCCUGGGUUUCCCCAGGUUAUCCCCCACUACCGGGCAGAUUCCUAUGCAUUACUCACCCGUCCGCCGCUCGCCACCAGGAGCAAGCUCCCCGUGCUGCCGCUCGACUUGCAUGUGUUAGGCCUGCCGCCAGCGUUCAAUCUGAGCCAUAAUCAAACUCUGA